UAGGGAAUAUUAGUAAUGGGCGAAAGCCUGAACUAGCAACACCGCGUGUGCGAAGAAGGCCUUCGGGUUGUAAAGCACUUUUUGAGAGGAUGAGGAAGGACGGUACUCUCAGAAUAAGUCUCGGCUAACUACGUGCCAGCAGCCGCGGUAACACGUAGGAGGCAAACGUUAUCAGGAUUUACUGGGCGUAAAGCGCGGGUAGGUGGUUGGGUAAGUAGAGCGUGAAAGCUCCUGGCUCAACUGGGAGAGGUCGUUCCAAACUGCCGGACUAGAGGAUGGUAGAGGGAGGUGUAAUUCCGGGUGUAGCGGUGGAAUGCGCAGAUAUCCGGAGGAACACCAGUGGCGAAAGCGGCCUCCUGGACCACUCCUGACACUCAGACGCGAAAGCUAGGGUAGCAAACG
rnacentral:rRNA from 1 species